rnacentral:rRNA from 1 species
AUGGGUACUGUCAGAUUGGAGAGCUUGAAGGGGCCUUUCUCAACCUUUCAGAACAUGAAAUCACGCCUUGUUAGUCCAAAUCACAUCACCUAUAAUGCACUAAUAAACGGUUUGGGUAAGGCUGAAAGGAUCACAGAAGCACAUGCUUUGGUCAAAGAGAGGGAGAAAAAUGGAGCAAGUCCUAGUGUGGAAACUUUCAAUAUGCUUAUUGAUGGUUAUGGAAGGGAUGGGCAGCUUGAAAAAAAUUUCAUUCUACUUUCUGAUAUGCGAGAGAAGGGGGUAAAGCCAAAUGUAGUCUCCUAUGGUUUUAUUGUCAAUGCCUUUUGCAAGAAUGGGAAAAUCCCGGAAGCAGUAGCUAUUUUGGAUGAUAUGUUCCAUAAAGAUGUUUUACCAAGUGCACAGGUGUACAAUGCUAUCAUAGAUGCAUAUAUAGACUGUGAUGCCACUGAACAGGCUUUUACUCUAGCUGAGAAGAUGAAGACUAGUGGGGUAAAGUUACAUGCAAUUUGCUGA